rnacentral:rRNA from 1 species
AGUGAACGCUGGCGGCGUGCUUAACACAUGCAAGUCGAACGAGAACGGAUUAUAGCUUGCUAUAAUUGUCAGCUAAGUGGCGCACGGGUGAGUAAUGUAUAGAUAACCUGCCCUCUAGAAAGGAAUAACAGUUGGAAACGACUGCUAAUGCCCUAUAUGCCUUUAAUACAUAAGUAUGCAAGGGAAACGCUUUAGUGCUAGAGGAUGGGUCUGUAUGGUAUCAGUUAGUUGGUGAGGUAAUGGCUCACCAAGGCUAUGACGCCUAACUGGUUUGAGAGGAUGAUCAGUCACACUGGAACUGAGACACGGUCCAGACUCCUACGGGAGGCAGCAGUGGGGAAUAUUGCACAAUGGACGAAAGUCUGAUGCAGCAACGCCGCGUGGAGGAUGACACAUUUCGGUGCGUAAACUCCUUUUAUAUAGGAAGAUAAUGACGGUACUA